UAUUGCUCCAACAAACUCCAAUGUUUGGGGAAAAGGUCUUCUGUGGUGGAUUGAAUUCACAAAGCUUAAAGGAAUUACAAUUCAGGGAAAAGGCACCAUCGAUGGGAGUGGCUCAGUAUGGUGGCAAGACUACCCAUUUGAUGAUCCUUCAGUUUGUAUAUCAGCUACAAAAAUAUGCAUUAUAUUUGCAUCUAAUCAAG
rnacentral:misc_RNA from 1 species